rnacentral:rRNA from 1 species
AACCCGACUCCGUGAAGCUGGAUUCGCUGUAAUCGCGCAUCAGCCAUGGCGCGGUGAAUACGUUCCCGGGUCUUGUACACACCGCCCGUCACACCAUGGGAGUCAGUAACGCCCGAAGUCAGUGACCCAACCGAACAGGAGGGAGCUGCCGAAGGUGGGACCGAUAACUGGGGUGAAGUCGUAACAAGGUAAC